AAAAAUGUUAAUCUUAGGACAAAAAAUAUUUGGUUGGAAGUUGGAAUUGAGGUUCCAGAGAUGAAUGAUGGCUAAUCCCAGAGUUUCUCUUCCUCUCUUAUUUUUGACUUGUCCUUGUUCUUCUACACUGACAUGAACAACUUCAACGCCUCGAAUCUUUCUCCUCCUUUUGCUUCCUUCUCUCACCACAUUUCCUCGCCACCAGAGGACGGUUUCAGAGCUUCCGGGAGAUGUUUUCGUUUGUGGGUUUCGUGGUGUUCCUCUCUGGAUUUUUCCUGGGAAUUCUCGCCGUCUUAUCCGCUGAAGCUGCGGGAUUUAUGUAUCUCCUGAAGCGAUUGAAUCGCAAGAGAGAUCGUAUUGAGUCAAAACCCGUCUCUGAUCCAUCUAUCAAGGAUUUUAAUCCUCGCGAAUCCAUCGAUUUCUGUAUCAACAAACAGGGAGUGGUAUGGAUUUUGGAAUUGGAUGAAGGUCUGAAGAACUGGAUGAAGGAAAAGUUACCAAAAGAGCAGAAGAGGAAGAGAGGCUUAUUGGAGAUUCAUCCACUUCGAAAGUUCGCUCGAAUCAAAGAUCACAAGCUUAUCUUGUCAGAUGCUGAUAGCACUCAGAGUGAGACUACCGUUUCUUUAAUAGGUUGCAGUAUUGAGGCUGUUUCAGGCUCUGAUCUCCCUACAAGAAAAUGGGCCAAAAGGUUUCCAAUAAAAGUUGAAAGCAAGAUUUCUCCAGCCUUAUACAAGGGAAACCAGGUGUUUUACAUCUAUCUGGAGACUUCUUGGGAAAAGGAAUCAUGGUGUAAAGCCCUUCGUCUUGCUUCUUGUGAAAAUCAGGAAAGGUUUAUUUGGUACUCCACCAAAUUGAAAGAAGAUUUCCGUAAUUAUGUGACUUCUCUUAAUGUUGCAUAUCCUUCAUUUAUGAAACCAUCACUUGGCUUUAGUUUUGAGACACUUGACAAAGGGAACAGAACGGAUGGUUCAUCCUCAAAGGUUCGCUUGUUCUUGAAGAAAUUUUCUAGAAAGCGAUCAAAUCGUGAAGACAGGAAAACCUAUUCACAUCAUGGAAGUAGCUCAGGGAAGUGCUUUCCAGGAAAGAAUAAUAUGACAGAUGAUACUGAUGUGCCUAUUUUUUCACGUUCUGUGAGCCAUAGCAGUCAUAUUUCUGGGGUCAGUCAUCUUUCUGGGGUUUCAGAUGGAGACUCUGAAGAAAAGGUUGACAUGGAUGAAGGAACAUUAGCGUUGAACUUGCUCAUUUCUAGGCUAUUUUUCGAUCUCAAACGGAAAACAGGAGUGAAGAAUUCAGUGCAAGCACGAAUUCAGCGGUUGUUAUCUAACAUGAGGACUCCGAGCUACAUAGGCGAACUAAUCUGCUCCGAUGUUGACACUGGAAAUCUCCCACCUCAUAUACAUGCUACACGGGUUCUUCCAAUGGAGAUGAGUGGUGUGUGGGCAUUCGAACUAGAUAUUGAAUACUCUGGUGACGUGGUGAUUGACGUUGAAACACGGGUUGACAUCCGUGAGGUGGAUCUGCAACAAGGCAUAACCGAUACAAGGUUGCAGCCAAGGUCUUCAGGGGUAGUCCCGUCAAAUUUUGCUGAAGGUGUUGAAGAUUUUGAAAAGCAAUUAGUCUUCCCUGUGGAAACUGUUAAUGCAGGAGAAGUGAAAAAUGGUGGAGCCAAUAAAGCAGAUGAAUCCAAGAGCUCAAGAGGUACGAAGGCAGCUCCAAAUGGUGUAUCCAGGUGGAAGUCUAUUCUUAAAACAAUUGCUGAACAAGUUUCUCAGGUGCCUAUCUCUUUGUCAAUACGGGUGUCUUCUCUUCGAGGGACACUGCGGGUACACAUGAAGCCGCCUCCUUCUGAUCAAUUAUGGUUUGGAUUCACGAGCAUGCCGGAUAUCGAAUUCGAUCUCGCAUCUUCUGUUGGGGAACACAAAAUCACCAACAGCCAUGUUGCAAUGUUCUUGAUCAACCGGUUUAAGACGGCAAUACGAGAAGCGGUGGUUCUUCCCAACUGUGAAAGCCUAACGAUUCCUUGGAUGAUUGCUGAAAAAGAUGAUUGGGUUCAACGCAAAGCCGCUCCAUUCAUGUGGCUGAAUCAAGAAAACGAUCACAAUACCUCCCAUGCAACAGAAGCGAGAUCUAAAUCUGACAAGCCACCGACUUCGUUCUCAUGUCUUCAAGCUGAGCAAAUGCAGAGAACUGCAAACGCCACCCAGAAGAUUAUUUCUGAAAUAGGGACAUUGGCUUCUUCCUCCUGUGCUCAGUCUGAGCAAGUGCAGAAAGCGGCCACUGCUUUCCAGAAACAGAAUACUGAAGCAGAAGCUAUUAUGUCUACGCCAUUGUCAAACUCCACAACUGUAACAAUAGAGAAUGAUAAAUCCUUGGAAGAACUGAAAACUCCACUACUGGUACCCAGCAGCAGUAACAAGCAGGAGACGAACUCAAGAGGGAGUAGCAGAGAGGUUUCUGCUGUUCAGUCACCAUCUAGGUCUGUAGCUUCAAGCGAAGAAGAUGAUUCAAGGGGGAAAAAACAGGGAAGAAGAGCAAGAAUGUUGGAUCUUGGGAAGAAAAUGGGGGAGAAAUUGGAGGAGAAGAGGCGUCACAUGGAGGAGAAGAGUAGACAGAUUGUUGAAAAGAUGAGAGGACCUUCUUAACAUGAGAAGGAAGAAGCUUUUGCAGGUUUCAGAUGCAAAAACUGAUUUAUAGAAACAGAGGAAGUUAGGCAUUGUUACAUAUGUACAGAGAUGUGAGAGAAAGCCAUAGAUGUCCCCAUAUUUAUCCGAUCAUUGAAAAUCUUUAUUAUUCUGUAAGAUAUACAAUACAAGAAAACAGAUUUUGGUGUGGACUCAAU
rnacentral:lncRNA from 1 species